GCCUUGCCACGCCGGCUAGGCACGAAGAGUGAGAAUUCGUAAUCAGCAGGUCAGCAGUUCGAAUCUGCUCGUCGGCUCCA
rnacentral:tRNA from 1 species